ACGGGUACGCACAGUUUUCCACGGGUGAUAUUCACUGAUGUAUGUACGUCUUCUGUUGAACCCAAUGUGCAACGAAGGUGUCGUAAUGUUCCAAGAAUGAUUGAAGCAGUAGUUUGAAACAAAUGCGUACAUUUUAAAAACACUGCGACAAAGAAGACUCCAACAACGAACGAUGAGAUUCUAAUGACGGAAGACGAGAUUCUAAUAACGAACGAUGAGAUUCCAAUGACGGAAGACGAGAUUCUAAUGCGGACUUCGUCGGUCCGUAGAAACGUGGAGUAACCGGCUCCAUUACCCUUGUAUCGAGCUGAGAGACGUAGAAUAUUCGUCUCGACGAUUCCUGCAGAAAGAUCUCGGGACACUCUGACCUGAACGAGCUACUGUGUAUCGCCGCGGGACAAGGAUAGCCGGGAUUCAGCGCAGGUUUUUUUCAAAGGAGAGCUUUCCUUAGGCAUUCAAGAUAUCGUGCGGAGGCCCAGGAAUCGCAAGGAAGACAAACAAUCUCGUGGAAAAGUUUCGCGAGCCGAAGAAACCGGAGAAGCUCGUUCAAGACUUUUCUAUCGUGAGCAGGAAGUUUGCUCGCCGAUAUUACGCAUUCGUGAUACGGAACCGUCGAAAGCCCGGGGAUAAUAGUAAUAGGGAUCAGAAACAAAACAGGGCGACAUCGAUGUCAUGGGUGAAGAUGCCAUGGUUAACAUCCUGGGAUGUUAAGGUGGUUCGUGUGCGCGGCCGGGAGGGCGUCGACGAGGAAUUUAUUGGACAAAAGAAGAAAACGCGCGUGGCAAGAGAGAGAGAGAGAGAGAAAGAGAGAGAGAAGAGGAACUACGAAUGUUCCAAGUUUACCGCUUGUCCUUCAAGACUUCGACGGGUCUCGCGCAGCUUUCCAUUUAUUGCCGGAGUUUAAGCGGUCGCUCUUGCCAACUUGCGCGGACAUUAUGCCGGAAAACAUGGAAGAUAAUCCGACUGGAAUUUAACUGGAUGGAUGACGAACUUGUGACGACCGUCACGAAACUUUUUGCCGUUCCUUGUGUUCACGGGGAUGCAGUUCCGUUGCCACGUUACAACGAUGAAAACGUCGACAACUAUUUAACGAGCCAGCCUACUGCACGAAGAGCGCGACUUUUCGAAUUUUCCCCAUGAAGACCGUUGCACGGAUGAACUCCAAAGACGCGGACUUAUUGAUGCACG